GCAGGUUAGCUUAAGAGAUAUAAGGCACGCUGCCUGGCACACGCCUGUCUGUCGUUCAAUGGCGGGAUAGCUGGGAGCUCAGGAGGAAUGGCUGAGGGGCUGCCCCUGCUGCUCUGGCACAGGUAGGUGGCUACAUAAAGCAGUCAUCUUACUUUGCCUACUGGCAAGACCAGCCCUGCAGGAACUGCUGCAGACUGUGGGCUUCUGGUCAGUAGGUUUACGUCUUUGAUAGACGAUUUCUAGGAAAUUGGGGAUGUGGGGUGUGUGUGUUUAAGAACAAAGGGGGGGGGGAGGACAAUCUUUCUCUUGAUUAGGUUCUUAUAGAUGUUUGUACAGUUGUACCUUGGAUCCUGAAUGCCUUGCGACUCGAACGUUUUGGCUCCCAAACGCCGCGAACCCGGAAGUGAGGGUUCCGGUUUGCAAACGUUUUUUGGAAGCUGAACGUCUGACAGGGCUUCCGCGGCUUCCAAUUACGUGCAGGAAGCUCCUACAGCCAAUCAGAAGCUGUGGCUUGGUUGUCGGAUGUUUUUGGAAGUCGAACGGACUUCCAGAACGGAUUCCGUUCAACAGCCAGGGUACCACUGUACAGUGGUACCUCGGGUUACAUACGCUUCAGGUUACAGACUCCGCUAACCCAGAAAUAUUACCUCAGGUUAAGAACUUUGCUUCAGGAUGAGAACAGAAAUCAUGCAGCAGCGGCGCAGCAGCAGCAGGAGGCCUCAUUAGCUAAAGUGGUACCUCAGGUUAAGAACAGUUUCAGGUUAAGAACAGACCUCCAGAAUUAAGUUCUUAACCUGAGGUACCACUGUAUAAGAAAGCGAGCGCAAGCCAAGCAAGACAAUAUGUUUGAUACAUUAUUGCAUUUGCUGCAUCUAGUUUCUUCCCACACUUCGCCCCCUCUGUGAAGGACCCAGGAUCACGACUGCGGAUGUGUGUGGAGGAGUGAUUUUAACUCAUACCCCUGACAUGGUUCUGAGAAAUACGGUAUCAUCGACAAAUUUGUUCUUGCAUAUAUUUAUCAAAACACAAGGGGGCAGAGUUGCAUAGGUUUAUAGCAAUAGAUGUAAGAACUGGGUAGAACUCUUAAGAACUUCUGAAGUUGCAAAAUUUCUGUUUGUGAAGAUGCAAACUUUACUUUGUAAAAGUGCUUUACUUGACUUUUCUUUUUCUUUUUUUACAGGUUCAACACAUCUCAGGUCUAUUAAAGGGAGGUGGGGGAAGGGUACAAAAACAGAGCCAGAAGCAAUAGUCAAAUACAAUUGAAAAAUUAGGGAUAGAAGAAGGAAGAAAGUACAGUGGUACCUCUGGUUACGAACGCUUCGGGUAACGAGCUCCGCUAACCUGGAAGUAGCUGUUCCUGGUUGUGAACUUUGCCUCAGGAUGUGAACAGAAAUUGUGCACUGGAGGUGCAUGUGCAGUGGGAGGCCCCAUUAGCUAAAGUGGUACCUCAGGAUAAGAAUGGUUUCAGCUUAAGAACGGACCUCCAGAACGAAUUAAGUUCAUAACCACUCUAUAAAGGUUUACCCUUACAUAUUACCACUUAUUCUGAAUGGAAUUAAAAUUUAAAUUUAAAUAGGAUUGUGAUACAUUUGAAAGUAAACCAGAAAAGCAAACCUUCUGUUACAGCUAAUCCUGUUAAAUUAUAAAACAUUUAUAGUUUGAUAUUUAGUUGUGGAAUACUUGGGAACCUUUCUUUUUCAUACCCAUGGAAGAUUGUGAUGAGAUUCCCAAAUUGUUAUAAACUUCCCAGGAAUAUUAAUUUGGUUACUGCAAGCAACAAAAAAUGCUGGCUUUGGUGUGAUGUUAGUUUGAUUCAGUUCAACUGUGCUAAGCAAAUUACAGACCUUGCGUGGAGCUACUGUUAUGAUACUGAAAUGCUUUUAUAGCGUACAAUAACCUCUCAGUUCAGCACCCUCAAAUGCCUUUCUGUAUUUCUUUUGCAAAUAACACAUUACAAAUUUAGCUCAUCAUGAGUCUUAAGAAGGCCCUCCACCUUUGAUUUCUACCUGGCUGCAAUUCCCUUUGCUCAGCUGAUGCCAGAGAACCUAAUCUAAGCAACCCGGAUUCAAUAUGAGGCUGAGUAUUGCUUUUUCAAUAUCACUAGUUUGUCCUGCGGCCGCAAACUAAGUUUCCUUGGUAAAAAGCCCUGCUAAUUUCAGUUGACCUUACUCCCAAGUCACUAUGUGAAGGAUAAGGAUGAAUGCUGAAUAUUGUGACCAGGUUGUUGAGUGGAAUAUCUGGAUGUGCACAUAUUACACCUGAAGUGAGGGAACAGCAUGGGCUUGCCAGUCAGCACCAGGCCAUGUUCAAGGUUUUGUUGCUUGCUUCUAUAUUCUUUACUCACUAGUUUUAUUGGCUUUAGGUUGUAUUUGCAUUUUUGUGAAAAUUGUUUUCAAAUCAACAAUGCAAUCCUAUGCAUGUCCAAUGAAAGUAAGCCCUGCUGAGCCCAAUGAGACUCAUUCCAAAUUAAACUUGAUGAUGAAUCUGUGAAAUUAUUUGGUGAAACAAAGGUUGGUGGGGCAUUCCUGAAACAUUCUCCUCAAAUUACAGGGUCAAUUUUAUGAACUUCUGGUUAAAUCACUGUUUCUUACCAGCUGUAAAGGUAAAGGUAACCCUGACUGUUAAGUCCAGUCUCAGACGACUCUGGGGUUGUGGCGCUCAUCUCGCUCUAUAGGCCGAGGGAGCAGGCGUUUGUCUGCAGACAGCUUCCGGGUCAUUUGGCCAGCAUGACUAAGCCACUUCUGGCGAACCAGAGCAGCGCACGGAAAUGCUGUUUACCUUCCCACUGGAGCGGUACCUAUUUAUCUACUUGCACUUUGACAUGCUUUCGAACUGCUAGGUUGGCAGGAGCAAUGGGAGCUCACCCCGUCGCGGGGACUUGAACUGCCGACCUUCUGAUUGGCAAGCCCUAGGCUCUGUGGUUUAGACCACAGUGUAGUUUUCACUUACUUUGUUUUAAAGAAUGAAUUGAAUUGGGGGGGGGGUAGUUCCUUAACAGAAUUAUGGAAACACUGGCUUAUCACAUUCCAGGUUCUUAGAUAACUUCUAAGAAACAAAAGUAUUUGAUAGCAGUUUUACACAGUAAUCUAAUGAGAACUGCAACUAGCACGGGGGCGGGGGAAUGUAGGAAUUCAUUCCUUUUUUUGAAAUGUACAACUUUGUCUCACGAUAAUCUAAAGUACAUUUGAAAAACUCCAGAAUCUUGCAAAGUGGGGAAUAGCUUUGCUACAUAUAUCAUAAUAUGAAUGAGCUGCUGAAGAGUGUGUACCAGGGGAAAGAUUUCCUGGGAACAGUGCCCAGACCUGUGGCACGAAACAGUACAUUUUUAAACACAAAAGGGGUGGGAAUAGGGCUUGAUGAUUACUGUGUUAGCCUGCACUCAGAUUGAACUGUAGGUAAUCAUAAGCUGGAAUGAAAUUCAUGUUUACACACUUUCAGAGCACACUGCCAUUUAAAACUCUGAAUAUAGUGCACUUUCCCCCUUAAGGGAACCGUGCAUAUAUUGUAUGCUUUUGUUUGCUUAUACAUAUGACUCUUUUCUCACAUUCAUCAGUCUAACUCCAAGUUCUCCCAUUGAUUUCAGAACCAGUAUGACAGGCAUUUGAGCAUAUACGUUUCGAGGCAUCAUUGCUUGCAUUCCACACUUGUGGAGAAAGUGGGUAGAGAAUUUAUUUCCUAUCCGUCUCCUAACAUGAGAAAUUGCGGGCAUCCAGUGAAGUUGAACAAAUAUAGAAAGUACUACUUCACACAGCACAUAACUAAACUUUGAAGUUCAUACCCACCAGAGGCAGUGAUGGCCGCCAACUUAGAUGGUUUGAAAUGAGUCUGCUAUCAGUGGCUAUGUUCCACCUCUGCUGUCGGAAAGAGCCGGCUUCUGAAUGUCAGCUUCUGGAAACUGCGGGAGAGGAGAGGGCUCUUUUGCUGAAAUCCUGCUUCCGGGUUUUCUGUAGGCAUCAGGGCUGGCCACUGAGAAGAGGAUGCUGGACACAAUGGGCUAUUGGCCUGACCCUGCAGGCUCUUCUUAUGUCCUUGUGAGGUGGAGUGGAAACCUCUUUCUACACCAUGCAUAAUUGUAUAUAUACUUUUAUCACUUCACCUCUUACUCACCUUUCCCCUAAACAAAGAAGCCCCAAAUGCCAUAGCCUUUCCUCAUAGGGGAGUUGCUCCAUCCCCUUUGUGGAGCAAUUCCCCCUUUUCAAGUGCCAGGCAAAGAAGACAAUACUGGGCCAGUUGGAUCAAUGCAUUGAUUCAUAAUAAGGCAGUGUCAUAUCGUCGUGUGCUUGUAUUAUGAUAUUAAUUAGGGUUAAUUAAGGUCGCUCCUUAGCACCUGUCUGGACACGGGGCUGUGCUUUGGAGUGGCCUGAGGCACUAAGAGAGUGUGCAGCUGCAUUGCUUCCCUGCCAUUCUCUCUACCAUAAAAAACCCCCAAAACACUACUUUGAUUUGGGUUCCCAGGUAGUACAAUGUUUAUUCUAGGUUGCUUGAAAAGGAGCUGUGGUGCAAAGUGUUUUGCAUUGGAUCUUGGAAUGUUCAAAUACCAGCAACAUUGAUUAGGAAACCCUGGAGAAUGGAAUAAUUACCUUCAGGUGAGCCCCAAAAAGAGAGUUCCAGCUUCCUUUUACAGUGGUACCUCAGGUUAAGUACUUAAUUUGUUCCGGAGGUCCGUUCUUAACCUGAAACUGUUCUUAACCUGAAGCACCACUUUAGCUAAUGGGGCCUCCUGCUGCCACCGUGCCGCCAGAGCACAAUUUCUGUUCUCAUCCUGAAGCAAAGUUCUUAACCUGAAGCACUAUUUCUGGAUUAGCGUAGUCUGUAACCUGAAGCGUCUGUAACCUGAAGCGUCUGUAACCCAAGGUACUACUGUACUGGCCUACAUACUGUGCUUCAAAGGCAGCACACUGUGCUUUAAAGGCAGCACAAAUGCCUAUCAACAUAGGUAUUUAGCAUAGGAGCAAGAUGAGUAAAAAAAAAGGUGGCAGCUCUAUGGGUCAUGACUGACAGGUGGAGGCCCUACCCACCUGUCAAAACGCCCCAUUGGAAGGGGGAGUUGGGGGUGGUCAGGGUUCAGCUGUCUUGAUCCUGCUCUCCACCCCUGAUUCAGCAGCUGAAGUUUUUCUCAAUAAUUUUGUCCUUAUCCUGAGAAAGGCUUCCUUUACGUCUCACCUCACAGUUAAAAAGGUAAAGGACCCCUGACAGAAGUCCAGUCAUGAACAACUCUGGGGGUGUGGUGUUCAUCUCGCUUUACUGGCCAAGGGAGCUGACGUUUGUCCGCAGACAGUUUUUCUGGGUCAUGUGGGCAGCAUGACUAAGCCACUUCUGGCGAAACCAGAGCAGUGCAUGGAAAUGCACAAAAGCAGAGUGAUUAAGAUGGUUGACAGCCACUGUCCUGAGAUUUUAAAGCAGGGAGAGAAAAGAGUCAGCUUCUUGCAUGAAAAUGCUCAGAUAAAACAAGAGAAGACGUAGCUGUUAGUAUUUCACACCUCCAAUGCUACUGCAGAUGAGAUGCACCUUUUCCAGCCUGUUUUUGCUGGGUCUUUUUCUCCAUCUUUCUCUCUCACCUGCAGUAGUAGGAACUGGAAAAUCCCAUUCAGCACUAUUGGGGGAAGAGAGGAGUACAGAUGAGCGAGGCAGGAAUCUCCGGCAUCUCAGCAAUGUGAUUAAAAACAGACACACACUUUUGAGGGUUGCAACCAGUGUGAGAAUUGGCAAGUCUUUUUCCUUGCUCUUCAGUUUUUUCUUACGACUUCCCCUUUUCUGGAUUCUUUCAUCUUUCCAUUUCUUUUCAUCAGGGCAAUCACGCAAACCUACUUUCCUUCCCUCCUGCGGGUGUUAGAGUUGCCUUCUGCUUCACUCCUUCAUUUGGAGCCUGUGGCAGUCAAGAUUUUGAUAAGACAGGUGAAGAAGGAAGAAAAAGCAGCUGGAGGAUGAGGCGAGGGCAGAGGGAGACGAAAGAGCUCUGAGUGGAGGGGGACCAUUUCUCCAUCCUUUGGAGCCCCUGGGAAAAUCAGGAAACCUGCUGUACCUGGAACUGGGUGUGGAGAGUGCAGCUGGAUGGGGCACCGCUUGUGGGCAGCCUGAGGAAUUACCAUUCAUCUUGGGUCUGCCCAUUAAGGCAAGAACAGAGUGAGAAACUAGGGUGAUAUCUGCUGUUCCCAGGAAUUCUUCUUGUUGUGAGACUUUUGUGGAUGAGCUGAGUUUGUUUGGAACCUGGGUGAGAACUCGGCAGCUGAGAGGGAGCAUAUGUCAGAAGGAAAAUGAAUUGAUAUUGAUGUACAUAUAUAUGAAACUUUGUAUUAAUAUAACGUUUUCAUAUGUAGCUGUAUUUCUGUAAUAUUUUAUUUAAGUUGUGUGUUGUUGCUCCGGUUUUUUGCAUACUGCUUAGAGAUUUUUCAAAAUAGAUUAAAUGGUAUAGAAAUUAAAUAUUCAAAUCUUCAAAUCAUCAGUGCAUCAAAUCCACUUUGAACUGCCGUGUAUACACUGUUUGCAUUUGUGAGUACCGUAAACUGCUGCCUCUGGAAUUAAAAAUGCUUCAGCUUGCAUUGUGAGAGAGCAGGCAAAGAAAAAUUGCCUAGUGCAGCUUGAAUCUCUGCUUCUCUACAAUUAUGUUAAUAACUGGAAAUCAGAUUUAAUUGAUAUUUUAGGGUUUUCACAUAGCAAAUAGAAAGUUUUAAAUUUCCUGACAUAAGCAGAUAAAACCUUCUCUCCCAAGAUUCCCUAAGCAUUUGAUGAAAGCUUUGUGCCAAGCAGAUGCAGUUCUUGCUGAGAAGGCUCUCUAUUUUUGUCACAAACUUAAAGAUAGCAACUUUAAUUUCAGGUUUGUUUAGAUGCAGCCUUAGAGAAAAUGAAGCUCUGUUAUUUGCCUUGUUUCACCAAAAGCAGGACAUUACCUUGUUGGUUGUUAUACAGUAAAAUAAACAGGCCAGAUUCAGCAGAAUUGAGAGAGGUCCUAGUAGAUUAUCUGCUACCCCUUAGGGUUGUGCCAUCUAGGAGAAAUUUUGUGAGGCAGUUCUCCAAUAAAAAUGUGUUCAAAAUUGACUAUACUAGGGGAAAGGUGUACAUGUAUGUUUAUACUAGUUAAAAUAGCAUACAAAAUUGUUAUAUAUGAGGACAUUGCUUGCUAUAUAUCUAUAUCUAAUGGCCACAUGACCCAGAAAGCUGUCUGUGGACAAACGCCGGCUCCCUCGGCCUGAAGCGAGAUGAGCGCCGCACCCCACUCACCUUCGGCUGGACUUAACCAUUCAGGGAUCCUUUACCUUAUCUAUCUAUCUAUCUAUCUAUCUAUCUAUCUAUCUAUCUAUCGCUAAGUUGCAUAUAGAAAUGUGUAUAAUUAAAGAAACGCUGAUGACUUUUCAUUAGUUAUAAGCAAUGUAGCAAUGUGGGAAUGUAGGAAACUGAAUUUAAGACUGAAAAAAAAGAGAAACUGAAGUUGGCAGAUUCACACAUCCCUAGCAAAGCCAAAACUUUGGAUCGGUACCUUUAAAUCCCCUGAGGCUGUAGUUGGUCCACCCUGGCACAGGGUGAGGCAGCUGCCUCAGGCAGCAGAAAUGGAAGAGGUGGUACUCCCCCAAGCGCCCUAUUUGCCUCACUAUUGCCACAGAAGCAGCCCAGGUAAGGG